GUCCGCACAGUAAACGAUGAAUGCUAGUUGUCCGGAGGGAAUGACCUCUGGGUGACACAGCGAAAGCGUUAAGCAUUCCACCUGGGGAGUACGCCGGCAACGGUGAAACUCAAAGGAAUUGACGGGGCCCGCACAAGCGGAGGAACAUGUGGUUUAAUUCGAUGAUACGCGAGGAACCUUACCCGGGCUCAAACGACGCAGGAAUUGUUUUGUAAAGGAGACAAGCCAGCAAUGGUCUGCGUCGAGGUGCUGCAUGGUUGUCGU
rnacentral:rRNA from 1 species